rnacentral:rRNA from 1 species
UACGUAGGGUGCGAGCGUUUAAUCGGAAUUACUGGGCGUAAAGCGUGCGCAGGCGGUUCGUUGUGUCGGCGGUGAAAGCCCCCGGGCUUAACUCGGGAGCCUGCAGGCGAAACUGUGGUGCUGGAGUGUGGGAGAGGUGCGUGGAAUUCCCGGUGUAGCGGUGAAAUGCGUAGAUAUCAGGAGGAACACCGGUGGCGAAAGCGGCUCUCUGGACCACAACUGACGCUGAGGCGCGAAAGCUAGGGGAGCAAACAGG